rnacentral:lncRNA from 1 species
UUUAGGUAGCUGUUUUUGUUGUUGAUUGCCAUAAAUUAUGAAAACUAAAGCCACCAGUUUUCUAGUUUUUUUUUUUUUUUUUCUUUCCUCCUGGUUUUUUGAGACAGGGUUUCUCUGUAUAGCCCUGGCUGUCUGGAACUCACUCUGUAGAAACCAGGCUGGCCUCAAAUUCAGGAAUCCUCCUGCCUCUGCCUCCCAGGUGCUGGGAAUAAAGUCAUGGGCCACCACUGCCCGGCCAGUUUUCUAGUUGUACUUUUUCAAAAAGUUUUUCCUUUGUUGGAUUGUGGUUCAUGACAGAAAUAAGUGGUAUAUAUAGUGUUAUUUAUUUAGAUCUUGUUCUCUUGGGGAAAUGAGGGGGAAUGGCCAUAGUAGACACUCUGACUGUUGUUCUUAGGAGUGAUGUUGCAGUGCACUGAGGGAAACCAAGAUAUCACCAGUGUCUUUCAUAGUUGACUUGCUAAGCGUGCCAUUUUAACCUUUGGGAAGUCUUAGAGAUGGUUCUUCAUUUUCCUUUAAGACUGAUUGUUGCUUUGUAGCUACUGGAACUUGCAGUCUCUUUCUGUCUACAGAAGGCUGAGAUUGCAGGCUUGUGCCACCACAUCUAGCUCGAGAGAAAGUUGUAAAACCACUUCAGAGGCAUGCCUGUGAAUGAAGUAGAGUGUGUGUGUGUGUGUGUGUGUGUGUGUGUGUGUGUUUGUGUGUGAGUGAUUUGCCUGUGGGUUUGACUUUUGGGAUGAGUCACAAGUACUUUGGGAUAAACUGAGAGUUACACGCUUGAUCUAUAUUUAAAUUUGAGUGGCCCUUAAUUAUUUAGUAGAGAGUCUCAGAAUGAAGAUGUGUUUGUUUGUUUGUUUGUUUUUCAGUUUCAUAAGGAUUUUUAGAUCUUUGCUUAUAAACUCUUGGAGUGCCUUGGUAAUUGGAUAUUGGUCCAAGUGCUUGUUUAGAUGUGGUGUACGUUGAGGGGGACAGAAUUUCUAAGGUUUUAGGGGUUUUUGUUGUUGUUUUUUUCGAGACAGCGUUUCUCUGUGUAGCUCUGGCUGUCCUGGAACUUACCCUGUAGACUAGGCUGGCUUCAAACUCAGAUCUGCCUGCCUCUGCCUCCCCAGUGCUGGGAUUAAAGGUGUGUGCCACCACUGCCUGGCGGUUUUAAGGUUUAAAAGCAGCUAAAAGUUGCAUCUUUUGAUUUGGGGAGGGCAGGGAUGUAGUCAUUUUUUUACAAAGGCCUUCCUGGAUGGGGAUGACGUUGGGUGGUGAUUGUCCAGCGUGUGUGGAGCCCUGGGCGCCAUCUCCAGUACUCACCCACCAUAUCCCCAAGAAAAGGAAAGAAAAACGAUGAUUUGUAGAACACUUUUAUUCACUUAGAGAAACAGUGUCUUAAUAUGUAGCCCUUGGCUGAUCUAGAGCUUGGUGUAUAGACCAGGCUGUCCUGGAAUUCAUAUCUACCUGUUUAUACUUCUAGGGUGCUGGGAUUUAAAGUAUACACCACUAUGCCUUGUUGUAGGACACCUUUUAAAUACCCUGGUACAGCAAAAUCCCCAGUUGUAAACUGGAAUUUUUUUUAACAUUAGUUUAAAUUCACUUAAAAAAUCAAAGAUACUAAGAUUUCUAAAAUUUC